CAUAUGGAGCAUCACACCAGCUAUCUCCUGCUCCCUGUCCUGCACUGCAAAGGAGGCCUUUUCAUCCUCUCUACUGCCUCCAAUUUUUCUCACGAGGAAUGUGAGAGGAAAACCUAGAGCUUGUUCCUGAAGCAUGGUGCUAAGUCCAUAUGCAGCAGAUGGAGCUCAUGAGAAAAGAGUUGCUCUUGUGAAGACCAAAGCUUGGUGAGGUGUCAGAUCCCCGGCGAUGGAAAGCAGUCAACUCAUGGGUAGUAAAAAGAAUGUAUUGACAACACUAUAGGUUUGAAAAGGAAAGUUUUAUUAGAUGGAAAGAACAGUGCAGAAGACCGCAGCAGAGGACCUCAGCAAGAGAGAACUAAUUUGUCAGUUUCAAAUACUCAUGUAUCUGAUUGUCAAUGCUGGAGAGCUGGGGCCAGGGCAGUAGUUGAUGAAUAUCACCUGACUGUCUCCUGCAGAAAAAGCAUUCCCAGAAGCACGGAGAAGUGAGGAGAAAAGGCAAUGCACCUGGAGCUGGAGACCAAGGCCCUGUUCUUACUGAUGGCCCUUGGAGCAGAUAUUUGAAUUGGAGAGAUAAAACCGUGGUUUUUGGGGUGUUAAUUUUGGUGGCUGAUGCAUUCUGUGAUUGAUUUGGCUAUUACAACUGGUAUUGAUUUUAAACACAUUAAUUGCAAAAUCUCAAUUGUGAUUUGAUUUCUGUAUUUACAAUACUAAAAACGAGGCUUUCGCCAGGAGAAGACAAUUGGCAGUACUCAGUUGGAAGUGCUUAAUUGUUAAUAUAUAUCAGCCGUGGUUCUUCAGCGUCGUCAGUGUUGCUCAGUCUUGCUCUUUGUGGCGACUACUGAAUGCUUGAAAAAUUCUCUCCUAUACUCCCACUCUGCACUGUAGAAGAGAAAGAGAGGAGAGUGGAAGAAAAAAGAGAGGGAGAGGAGAAAGAAAGAGAGGAGAGAGAAACAUGGGCAUGGAUGAUACAUAAGGUAGUUGUAAACUGUGAUCAGCUUUGAUAAUAACUAGAUAAAUUCUUUUAAUACAAAAAUAUAUAAGGCAUUUUGCCUUUUUUUCAAAUUUCAAAUAAAUGGAUUUGUAUAGAAUGUAGUCUGUUGCCCAGAGUUUUCAUUUAGCAUAAUGCAUUUGAGAUUUAUCCAUGUUGUUGUAUAUUCUUUUUAUUGCUGAGUAGUAUUCCAUUGUGUGGAUAUACCAGUUUGUUUAUCCAUUAACCUUUGAUGGAUAUUUGGGUUUUUUUCAAUAUGAGGCUCUUAUAAAUAAACCUUCUGUAAUCAGGUCUUUGUGUAGUCACACAGUUUGUUUGUUUGUUUGUUUUUUAAAAAGAUGUUAGUAUUGUAAUUGUGUUUAAUAAGAAACUGUUCAGUAUUUCUG
rnacentral:lncRNA from 1 species